rnacentral:rRNA from 1 species
CGGGGAUGGAUUAGCGGCGAACGGGUGAGGAACACGUGAAGAAUCUGCCUUCAACUCUGGGAUAACACCGGGAAACCGGUGCUAAUACUGGAUAAGCCUUUACGGGGAAAGUUUUAAUGCCAAAAGAUGAGCCCGCAUUUGAUUAGCUAGUUGGUAAGGUAAUGGCUUACCAAGGCAACGAUCAAUAGCUGUUCUUAGAGGGAGACCAGCCACAUUGGGACUGAGAUACGGCCCAGACUCC